rnacentral:rRNA from 1 species
AUGGUGACUCAGCAGGCGGCUUGGGAAACAGGACCACGCAGGAGGCCCACAUCCGAGACAGCGAGCGAGCGAGUCAGGAGACGGGUACGUAGGCGUGGAUCGUGGAGGAUUCCGGGUUGUGGCCGGCUCCGUUUCCGGGUCGUUUCAAGGAGGCGAGGCGAAUCCAUCCCCGCAUCUUCCGGGUCAGACAGGGCUCGCCAGGCGAAGGUAAGACCGGUUUCGAGGCAAGCGGCGGCCACCGGCAGUAGUGAAGUGGCGAAACGCAAGGGCGGCUCGGUCAAGCGGAGGUGA